AGCGAACGCUGGCGGCAGGCUUAACACAUGCAAGUCGAGCGGGCGUAGCAAUACGUCAGCGGCAGACGGGUGAGUAACACGUGGGAACGUACCUUUUGGUUCGGAACAACACAGGGAAACUUGUGCUAAUACCGAAUAAGCCCUUACGGGGAAAGAUUUAUCGCCGAAAGAUCGGCCCGCGUCUGAUUAGCUUGUUGGUGAGGUAACGGCUCACCAAGGCGACGAUCAGUAGCNGGUCUGAGAGGAUGAUCAGCCACACUGGGACUGAGACACGGCCCAGACUCCUACGGGAGGCAGCAGUUAGGAAUAUUGGACAAUGGGCGCAAGCCUGAUCCAGCUAUGCCGCGUGAGCGAUGAAGGCC
rnacentral:rRNA from 1 species